rnacentral:tRNA from 1 species
UCUAAUGUGGCAGAAUAGUGCAAUGGACUUAAGCCCCAUUUAUAAAGGCUUCCUUUUUUUAGAA